GACGAACGCUGGCGGCGUGCCUAACACAUGCAAGUCGAGCGAUGAAGCUUCUUCGGAAGUGGAUUAGCGGCGGACGGGUGAGUAACACGUGGGCAACCUACCUCAUAGAGGGGAAUAGCCUUUCGAAAGGAAGAUUAAUACCGCAUAAGAUUGUAGUACCGCAUGGUGCAGCAAUUAAAGGAGUAAUCCGCUAUGAGAUGGACCCGCGUCGCAUUAGCUAGUUGGUGAGGUAACGGCUCACCAAGGCGACGAUGCGUAGCCGACCUGAGAGGGUGAUCGGCCACAUUGGGACUGAGACACGGCCCAGACUCCUACGGGAGGCAGCAGUGGGGAAUAUUGCACAAUGGGGGAAACCCUGAUGCAGCGACGCCGCGUGAGUGAAGAAGUAUUUCGGUAUGUAAAGCUCUAUCAGCAGGGAAGAAAACAAUGACGGUACCUGACUAAGAAGCCCCGGCUAACUACGUG
rnacentral:rRNA from 1 species